rnacentral:rRNA from 1 species
UGGGGGAUAUUGCACAAUGGGCGAAAGCCUGAUGCAGCGACGCCGCGUGGGGGAUGAAGGCCUUCGGGUUGUAAACUUCUUUUGCUCUGAACAAGGCAUGCUAAUGGGUGUGUUGAGUGUAGGGGUUGAUUAGCGCCGGCUAACUACGUGCCAGCAGCCGCGGUAAUACGUGGGGCGCGAGCGUUGUCCGGAAUUAUUGGGCGUAAAGGGCUUGUAGGUGGCUGGUUGCGUCUGUCGUGAAAGCUCAUGGCUUAACUGUGGGUUUGCGGUGGGUACUGGCUGGCUUGAGUGCAGUAGGGGAGGCUGGAAUUCCUGGUGUAGCGGUGGAAUGCGCAGAUAUCAGGAGGAAUACCGGUGGCGAAGGCGGGUCUCUGGGCUGUUACUGACACUGAGGAGCGAAAGCAUGGGGAGCGAACAGG